UACGGAGGGAGCUAGCGUUGUUCGGAUUUACUGGGCGUAAAGGGCGCGUAGGCGGCUUGACAAGUCACUUGUGAAAUCUCCGGGCUUAACUCGGAACGGCCAAGUGAAACUGUCAUGCUAGAGUGCAGAAGGGGCAAUCGGAAUUCUUGGUGUAGCGGUGAAAUGCGUAGAUAUCAAGAGGAACACCUGAGGUGAAGACGGGUUGCUGGGCUGACACUGACGCUGAGGCGCGAAAGCCAGGGGAGCAAACGGG
rnacentral:rRNA from 1 species